GUUGGUGAUGGAAUACUAUUGUGCUCAAGGGAAUAAUAAAGUGGAGGAAUUCCACGGAGACUGGAACAACCUCCAGGAAGUGAUGCAGAGCAAAAGGAGCAGAAAUGGGAAAACAUUGUCCCAUCUGGGUCGCCAUCUUGAACUCUCUCUUCAAAGUUCUUUUCAACUUUCCCUUACGGUACUUGUUGACUAUCGGUCUCGUGCCGGUAUUUAGCCUUAGAUGGAGUUUGCCACCUGGUUUGGGCUGCAUUCCCAAGCAACCUGACUCCAAGAAGACCCGGUCCCGGCGUGCCGGGGUCCGCUACAGGCCUUACACCAUCCACGGGCUGUGCCUCGAUCAGAAGGACUUGGGCCCCCACCGAGAGCGGCACCCCAUUACGGAGGGAAUCCUGGUUAGUUUCUUUUCCUUCGCUGACUAAUAUGCUUAAAUUCAGCGGGUCGCCACGUCUGAUCUGAGGUCACAUCUCAAAAGUAAUGGACUCCUCCACUAGGGCCAAUGCAAUGUCCCUGAACAAUCUGCAGGGAUCUAAA
rnacentral:lncRNA from 1 species